CCUCGUUGAGAAGGGAGGGGAGCUGAGAUCCUGUAGACCGGUCUUCAGCACCCUGGUCUACAGCUCCCCUUCCUUCUCAAUGAGG